AGUGAACGCUGGCGGUAGGCCUAACACAUGCCAGUCGAGCGGCAGCACAGUAAGAGCUUGCUCUUACGGGUGGCGAGUGGCGGACGGGUGAGGAAUAAAUCGGAAUUUAGUUUUUCGUGGGGGAGAACGUAGGGAAACUUACGCUAAUACCGCAUACGACCUACGGGUGAAAGCAGGGGAUCUUCGGACCUUGCGCGAUUGAAUGAGCGGAUGUGGGAUUAGCUAGUUGGCGGGGUAAAGGCCCACCAAGACGACGAUCCGUAGCUGGUCUGAGAGGAUGAUCAGCCACACUGGAACUGAGACACGGUCCAGACUCCUACGGGAGGCAGCAGUGGGGAAUAUUGGACAAUGGGCGAAAGCCUGAUCCAGCCAUGCCGCGUGGGUGAAGAAGGCCUUCGGGUUGUAAAGCCCUUUUGUUGGGAAAGAAAAGCAGCAGGUUAAUACCCUGCUGUUCUGACGGUACCCAAAGAAUAAGCACCGGCUAACUUCGUG
rnacentral:rRNA from 1 species